CAGAUUUGACAUACAGACCGUCCCACAGCAACAAGGCAGCCGGGAAAACUGAAGAGAAGCAUUCGUUUGUAUAGCAAAGCCAUAAGCCCUGGAAAUUAUGAACCUGAUGUCUCCUAUGUUUGUUUCAUUCAAGCUCAAAAAAUAAGUUCUACAUCAUCCUUCAUUGGCACAAAUUCUCCAUGUGUACAUUGCCAAGGUCAUGAGAGUCUACAUAAACAGGAUGGUCCCGCGGAGAUGCCUGUGGGUGUGGAGGAAGACUGCUUCCAUGGCAGAGCAUGAAAGAAGAAUAGAUAUAGCACUAUGUGAAGUCUCUUUGAGGAAAACCUUCAUCUCGGUUGUGAGGAAC